rnacentral:rRNA from 1 species
GACGAACGCUGGCGGCGUGCCUAAUACAUGCAAGUCGAACGCAGUGGGGACGGGUGAGUAACACGUUGGUAACCUCCCAUCAGAGGGGAUAACACUUGGAAACAGGUGCUAAACCGAUACUGAUGGAUGGACCCGCGGUGCAUUAGCUAGUUGGGGAGGUAACGGCUCACCAAGGCCACGAUGCAUAGCCGACCGGAGAGGGUGAGCGGCCACAUGGGGAUUGAGAAAGGGCCAAGCUUCCUACGGGAGGCAGAGGGAGGGAACCUGCGGCAAGGGACGAAAGCCUGACCAGGAAACGCCGGGGGAGGGAGAAAGGUUUUCGGUUCGUAAACCUCGGUUGUUAGAGAAGCGGUAUCUAACCAGAAAGCCACGGCUAACUACGUGCCAGCAGCCGCGGUAAUAC